AGAGUUUGAUCCUGGCUCAGAACGAACGCUGGCGGCAGGCUUAACACAUGCAAGUCGAACGCACCGCAAGGUGAGUGGCAGACGGGUGAGUAACGCGUGGGAAUCUACCUAGCUCUUCGGAAUAGCUCCGGGAAACUGGAAUUAAUACCGAGUACGCCCUACGGGGGAAAGAUUUAUCGGAGUUAGAUGAGCCCGCGUUGGAUUAGCUAGUUGGUGGGGUAAUGGCCUACCAAGGCGACGAUCCAUAGCUGGUCUGAGAGGAUGAUCAGCCACACUGGGACUGAGACACGGCCCAGACUCCUACGGGAGGCAGCAGUGGGGAAUAUUGGACAAUGGGCGCAAGCCUGAUCCAGCCAUGCCGCGUGAGUGAUGAAGGCC
rnacentral:rRNA from 1 species